rnacentral:rRNA from 1 species
GAUGAACGCUGGCGGCGUGCCUAAUACAUGCAAGUCGAGCGAACAGACGAGGAGCUUGCUCCUCUGACGUUAGCGGCGGACGGGUGAGUAACACGUGGAUAACCUACCUAUAAGACUGGGAUAACUUCGGGAAACCGGAGCUAAUACCGGAUAAUAUAUUGAACCGCAUGGUUCAAUAGUGAAAGACGGUUUUGCUGUCACUUAUAGCUGGAUCCGCGCCGCAUUAGCUAGUUGGUAAGGUAACGGCUUACCAAGGCAACGAUGCGUAGCCGACCUGAGAGGGUGAUCGGCCACACUGGAACUGAGACACGGACCAGACUCCUACGGGAGGCAGCAGUAGGGAAUCUUCCGCAAUGGGCGAAAGCCUGACGGAGCAACGCCGCGUGAGUGAUGAAGGUCUUCGGAUCGUAAAACUCUGUUAUUAGGGAAGAACAAAUGUGUAAGUAACUAUGCACGUCUUGACGGUACCUAAUCAGAAAGCCACGGCUAACUACGUG